rnacentral:rRNA from 1 species
GAUGAACGCUGGCGGCGUGCCUAAUACAUGCAAGUCGAACGCACAGCGAAAGGUGCUUGCACCUUUCAAGUGAGUGGCGAACGGGUGAGUAACACGUGGAUAACCUACCUCAAGGUUGGGGAUAACAUUUGGAAACAGAUGCUAAUACCGAAUAAAACUUCGUAUCGCAUGAUACAAGGUUAAAAGGCGCUACGGCGUCACCUAGAGAUGGAUCCGCGGUGCAUUAGUUAGUUGGUGGGUAAAGGCUACCAAGACAAUGAUGCAUAGCCGAGUUGAGAGACUGAUCGGCCACAUUGGGACUGAGACACGGCCCAAACUCCUACGGGAGGCUGCAGUAGGGAAUCUUCC